ACAUUUUUAAAAGGUUUUUUUUCUCUAUAUAUUUUUAUCUUAAUCAUCAACACAGUCUUCAAUCAUCAAAUCUUUUUGUUUUUAAAGGUCUCAAGGCCUAUACACAUCUGAGAAUAUAUAUAUAUAUAUAUGCAUGCACAAGUGAACGGUCAGUUCUUGAAGUUGAUGUGUUGGCAGCAGGUAAAAUGGGCAAGUGUAAGGAUCUGAGUGACUUUGACAACGGCCAAAUUGUGAUGGCUAGACGACUGGGUCAGAUCAUCUCCGAAACGGCAGAUCUUGUGGUGUUCCCGGUGUGCAGUGGUUAGUACCUACCAAAAGUGGUCCAAGGAAGGACAAGCGGUGAACCAGCGACAGGGUCAUGGGCUCCCAAGGCUCACUGAUGUGCGUGGGGAGUGAAGACCUGUCUGAUUCGAUCCCACAGAAGAGCUACUGUAGCACAAACUGCUGAAAAGUUAAUGCUGGCUCUGAUAGAAAGGAGUCAGAACACACAGUGCAGUGCAGCUUGCUGCGUAUGGAGCUGCGUAGCUGCAGAGCGGUCAGAGAGCCCAUGCUGACCCUGUCCACCACCCAAAGCUCCAACAAUGGACAUGUGAGCAUCAGAACUGGACCAUGGAGCAAAGGAAGAUGGCCAGGUGUGUGUACAUCGUUUACCUGGGGAAGAAAUGGCACCAGGAUGCACUAUAGGAAGAAGGCAAGCUGGCGGAGACAGUGUGAUGGUCUGGGCAAUGUUCUGCUUGGAAACUUUGGGUCCUGGCCUUCAUGUGGAUGUUACUUUGACACGUACCACCUGCCUAAACAUUCCUGCAGACCGAAUUACACCCCUUCAUGGCAACGGUGUUCCCUAAUGGCAGUGGCCUCUUUCAGCAGGUUAAUGCUCCCUGCCACACUGCAAAAAUUGUUCAGGAAUGGUUUGAGGAACAUAACAAAGAGUUCAAGGUGUUGACUUGGCCUCCAAGUUCCCCAGAUCUCAAUCCUGUGGGACGUGCUGGACAAACAAGUCCGAUCCAUGGAGGCCGCAUCUCACAACUUACAGGACUUAAAGGAUCUGCUGUUAAUGUCUUGGUGCCAGAUACCACACUCUUGUGGAGUCCAGGCCUCGACACGUCAGAGCUAUUUAGUGGCACAAGGAGGAACUACACAAUAUUAGGCAGGUGGUUUUAAUGUUAUGGCUGAUCGGUGUGUGUGUGUGAGAGAGAGAGGUGAAGGGAACUCAGUUCGUUCACACAGACACUCAGCCGGUUAUCAGUUUCAAGGACGAGCAAAUAAAAGCUGCUCAGGACAUUUUAUCAGACGCUCAAACAUUUCCAGCGCCAACUCUCUCAAAAGCUCUGAAACAAACCUCAGGAAAAUUUCAGGGAAAAAGAGGCCCAGACGUAGUAACACGGCUAGCGGGUCGGUCAGGGUGCACAGAUCACACUUCUGCGAAAUUAUGGUGCAAAAUUCAUUUAAUUUGUAAUUUUCCACUACGAACUUUAGUCCAGCAAAAACACAAACUCACACUUUAGCUAAAGGAAGUCGGUUAGUCAAGGUCUACAAUUUAAUGUGUGCUUGUUUAUCAGUGUUACAGGAAAAUAAUCAACUCCAGGUUGCUAACAGUAACUCCGCUUCAUCACAUCACCCUGUCGUUGAUUAUUUUCCUGUAACAGCUAGUCCCAAAGUGUUUUACAAAACUGCAGCUCAGUGACAUUAGCUUGUAGUGUAGCACUAUGUGGCUAAUCUUGAAGCUACACACAUUGAGACUACAUGCAUGACUGAUGUCACCACUGUUGCUAAUACACAUAAUAAAUAAUAAUCAACUCCAACUCUCAACAUUUUUGUCUCAUUUACAACACACAAUUAACAAAAAAAUGCUAAUUUAUGACCUUUCACCUCUACUUAAAAACAGAGGAAAUUCAUAAAACACUUUUUGUCAAAGUUUUUUCAACUGUUUUCAUGCUAGUGAUAAUUAAAAUGCUAGUAGUAGUGGGCUUUAUUAUGCUAGUAAUAUUAUGCUAGUAGUAGUUAGGAGGUAUGGCACCAGUGAAAUAUUAGCACGUUUGGGCUGGUUAGCGUGUUACUAGGAGGUGUUAGCCAUGGAUGCUAGUAUGUUAGGGCUAGUUUGAAUGCUAGUAAUGGAUGAUAGUAUUACUAGAGGUUAUUAGUAUGUUAGGUGUGUUAGUAGUUAGUAGUUAAUGUUAAUAUUUUAGGGCUGCUUAGUAUUUUAGUAGUACACUUUAGUAAAUUAUGCUAGUAAUGUUUAGAAUGCUAAUAGUAGUGGACUUUAUUAUGCUAGUGAUAGUUAUAAUGCUAGUAAUGAACUUUAAUAGGAAUAUAUACUAUACUAGUUAGUAUUUUAGUAAGCUAGUGUAUAUUACUGGUUGAGAUUAGUAUGUUCAGGCUGGUUAGUAUGUUUGUAGUAAGUGCUCAUAUGUAAGUUUAUCCUAGUAGUUGAUAUUAGUUAAGGCUGGUUUUAGUACUGAGUAAGUUUAGUGUAUGUUAGUGUGGUUGUGUAUGGCUUAUUAGUUAUUAGUAAGUUAUCCCUGGUUAGUGUGUUACUAGUAAGGUAGUAGUUUGUCAUAAUAGUUGACAGUGGUUAAGGCUAUAGUAUAGUAUGGUAGUAUAUAUUACUACUGGAUAUUAGUACGUUAGAGCUGCUUAGUAUGCUAGUAAUGGAAGUUAGUGUAUUGCUUGAGGUUAUUAGUAAGUUAAGGUUUAUUAGUAUGUUAAUAGUGCAUGUUAAUAUGGUUCACAAUCUAGUAAUGGAUUUUACCGUGUAUGUUUGUAGUGUGUAUUUCCAGUGGACAUGUAAUAUGUUGUAUUUUAAUAGUCGGUGUUAGUAUUUUAGGGUCAGUAUGUAUGCUAGUGAUAGAUAUUAGUAUGAGUCAGUUAGGAUAAGUGAGAAGUGCGUGUCAGUAUUUUAGGGCUGGGUUUGUGUGUUAGUACUGAACGCUAGUCAAUUAGCAUUAGCUUGUAUGCUAGUAGUGAAUGUUUGUUGUAGUAGACUUGAGUAAUGUGCAGUUAGUGACUCUGAGCGAUGUCGGAAGGUCCUCUCUCUCUCUUUUUUUUCCUGGCGGUUGCGGUUUUUGGGUGAGUGACCUGCACUCCACGUUGUGAGCUGAUCAAUAGCGCUCAGAGCUUAUCUCUCACUUCCAUUUACUGUUUGACUAAAAGCCUCGGAGGCCACAUAAAGAGGAGCAGAAGGGAGCGGACCGACCUGAACUUAGCUCAUAUCGUCCAAAUGAACUGCUGCUGUUUCGUCCGAGCGCACGGAAGAUCACUGGUGUAGGGAUGAUAGUAAAGUCUGCUGGAAUUUGUAGGGCCUUUUUCAAGGCCUUUUUAUUUUUGGUUUUGUUUUUUAACCAUAUGGCAGUGUUAGUUUUGUUAUUUAGUGAUUUCACAUGCUGUGGAGACCUGAAAGCUUGAUGACGGCCAUCUUUAUAACUGGAUCCAGAGGCCAUGUGUUUGUUUGUGUCUCCUCUCUCUCUCUCUCUCUCCGCAGCUAUGGAGUGUGACAAUGGUGUUUGUGUCAUGUCCAAUCAAACGCCAUUAUCACACUAAAUAACUACGGCGUGACCAUCAGACCACACACACACACACACACACACACACACACACACACUUCAUCAGCAGGACGGGGACUGCCAUUCACCGAGGAUGUGUGAUUCAUCAGUGUGUCAUGUAUGUGUAUGUGUGCCAUCUAACCUUUCCACUCGCGUCAGUGAUCCGUGUUGACAUCACGGUUAUCUCUCUAACAGACAGAUAUAAAUAGUUUGCUGUGUGUUUAUACGGCAUGUGACGAUAAUAUAAUAUCUGUCCAGUUAUAGUCUUAAUGAAUACACAAUGCUAUAAUUGUGCAUGUUGAAUAUCUUGACAUAUCAUAUAACUGAUAUUUCAGUUAUACAAGCCUGUAGCCUAAAUAUAGCCACAGCGCUGUUGAAUUCUGGACUCUGAUUGGUCAGGAGGUGUUGAUUAGUUUUCUAUAACAGCAGCUCUGACAGUAGUGCAGCUGGGUUUAUAUCAAUGCGCUCGUUCUAAUACGUUAUCGAUUCUCUACUAACAACUUACACAGGAACUUGUAUGGUGGAUUAUCCACAUCAUCUAAGACUAAUAAUAAAUAGAUUUUAAAAAUCUGUUGAUAUUUAAUAUAUAAAAUCUUAUAAUUGUUGAUAUUUCUGUAAGCAGAUGUUUAUUUAACAUUUUUGGAAUUGUAUAUGGGGCCAGAUAUGGAUCUUAGUGUGAAGUACUGAAAUAUAUCUGGUAGGUUUCCCACACAGUUUCUAUGUAAUUACUGAUUAAUAAUUUUUUUAAAAAACUACCUAUUUAAUUAAGGUCUGAAUAAAUAUUGCACAUGCCAUGUUUCUACAUAAAUAUGCACUUCAAUGUCCAACAUGCAACAUACAUACCUGACAUUACUACAUGAACUACCUGUGAAAUACCAGGGAGUAAAUUCAAAAAUCAUUCAAAAUCAGUAGGAAAGCAGCAUAUCUUGCAUGACUGAUCACAUUUUGACCUGUUACCCUGUUCACACUGCAACUUGACUCUUGUUCCAUUUAGCUUUGGCAUAUCUAUGAACCUGCAACUCGAUCUACAGAAAACAGACCAGGGAUUCAUUUGAAGUCACCGACAUUCCCCUGCUCAGUCUCAUCUUUGCGUAAUAAAAUACUCGAAGGACAAUCAUGUUUUUCUCCCACAGUCGAAUCGUUUUCAUGAAAUACAGAGAACAAAAAUCUGUGUAAAUGGUGCAUUUAUGCCAUUUUUUGUUAAUUGAUUAAAAAAAUAGGUUUUA